UAUCUCAGUGGGUAAAGAAUUUGCCUGCAGUGCAGAAGACCCAGGUUCAAUACCUGG
rnacentral:tRNA from 1 species